rnacentral:rRNA from 1 species
AAACAACUUUCAACAACGGAUCUCUUGGCUCUCGCAUCGAUGAAGAACGCAGCGAAAUGCGAUAAGUAAUGUGAAUUGCAGAAUUCAGUGAAUCAUCGAAUCUUUGAACGCACCUUGCACUCCUUGGUAUUCCGAGGAGUAUGCCUGUUUGAGUGUC